rnacentral:tRNA from 1 species
GAGGGUGUAGCUAGGCGAUAGAGCGCGUGCUUAGCAUGCACAAGGUCCUGGGUUCAAUCCCCAGGACCUCCA